UUGACAUAAUGAUGAUCGCAUAGUUCAGCAGAUUAAACCGUGAAGAACUACUAUUGUCUUUCGCUCCUAGCUGAUGUGUCAG
ensembl:snoRNA